UACGGAGGGUGCGAGCGUUGUCCGGAAUCAUUGGGCGUAAAGGGCGCGUAGGUGGCCCGGUCAGUCUUUGGUGAAAGCGCGGGGCUCAACCCUGCGUCGGCCAGGGAUACUGCCGCGGCUCGAGCACUGUAGAGGCAGGCGGAAUUCCGGGUGUAGCGGUGGAAUGCGUAGAGAUCCGGAAGAACACCGGUGGCGAAGGCGGCCUGCUGGGCAGUUUUGCUGACACUGAGGCGCGACAGCGUGGGAAGCAAACAGG
rnacentral:rRNA from 1 species